AUCCCUGCUUUUGUACAGCUUUUGUGACGUUUGAAUUUUGAAACAGGGUUUCAACAUCGAUUUGAGGAUUCGGCUCCAUCUUCUCUCUUUCUCAUGUAUAUUGAACGACUCAAUCUCCUCUCUUUCUCAGAACACCACCGACUUGAAGAUUACAUCUGGGAGAUAUGACAUCGAAUAAGUUCGUUCUUCCGAUUCAACAACCAUCAGUUUAUAGUGAAUCAAGUCUGCAAAGAUUGGUGGCUACGGAGAAGAGUUCCGAGCUGUAGAUGGUGAUUGAGGUAGGUUCCGACAAACAAACUGAGGAUUUAAUAAGGUGUGGCCGAUAUUUGAUUCUUUUCAAUCUUGUGAUUUUCGGAAGGUAAAUUGAAGCCACCAACGGGCUUGUAGCCUAGCAGUGUGCUGGUAUCAUGGUGCGCAGAUAAGUUGUUCCUCCCCUGCUUCAAUGGCUGAUGUAUCUGCUUUUCAUGCAACUUCAUUUCUUCCUGUAAAAAAGGCUGAGGCUAUAACAGAUCCAGAGAGAAGAGGGUUUCUAAAAAUGUAGAGAUAGGCGUAGAGAGGCCAUGUGGUGAAAUUUGGCUCAUGAAAUGACAACAGACUAUAGUGUUUAUGUAUGGACUGUGCUUUGCAUUGCUUUAUGGCGCUUUCUACCUUUUUAUUGAUUUCAACCAUUACUAUGGCACACAGGUUGAUGGAUUCAAGUUGAUUAAAAACUCAGGAUCCGUGUGCUGGUAUUUGUUGGAAACGGGUCAGGCUAUUCGUGAAGUGGUUGGGUAGUACAAAGAAAAUACAAAGAUUAUAGCGGAUACAUUUACUUCACUAGGUUUCAAAGUAUAUGGCGGAAUGCAUGCCCCAUAUGUGUGGGUCCAUUCCCUGGUCAAAAUUCGUGGGACGUCUUCAGUGAUAUUCUUGAGAAAAGUCAUGUUGUGACCACACUUGGGAGUGGGUUAGGACCUGCUGGUGAAGGGUUCGUUAGGGUCAGCGCCUUUCGCCCCAGGAGCAUCGUGUUGGAAGCCUGUAGGAGAUUCAAGGAGCUGAGAAAAUGAAUCCCUUUUCAUAUUAAAUUAAUUCUUCAAUCAACCUGCUUGUUUGUUGGAGGAACAAAUGGUCUGCCGUCUCCAAGUCGUGAUCACAGAAAACGCAAUUUUUUCGUCGAACCUGAAUAAUUCUUCUUUCUAAAGCUGCUGUUGUUGCAAUUCUGUCCAUCUCCGCCCCCCAGACAAAUAUAUUUACUUUAGAAGGGACCCAUUUGCACCACCACUCCCGGCUUGGGUGAGUCGGUCAUCAGAUGUUUGGCCGAACAGUAAUCAGUUUUUUUAAACACAACAAAAGUUGAGGGAUGAUCAAAAUGCUUAAAGAUUUUUUUCUUAAACUGUUCUAUUCCUGUUGUUUAGUGGUUUUAACCACUUGAGUCCAAAAUCAAAAGAGUUUAACGCUCCAAGUCCCUAACCGCUCAUUUUAUAACGUUUUAAGUCCGUGUGUUUUAGUGGUUUUAACCACUUGAGUCUAAAAUCCAAGUACAAGUGUUAAAAAAAUUGGACUCAAAACGUUAUGAAAUGAGUGGUUAGGGACCCAGGGCGUUAAACUUUUUGAUUUUGGAUUCAAAUGGUUAAAACCACUAAAACAUAGGGACUCAAAAAAUAAUUUACUCUUGAUUAUAUUUCAAGACUUUAGUGAUCUAUACACAUACCAUUCAUCUUUGCGUUUGGAGUUUUAUUGUGUUUUGCUU
rnacentral:lncRNA from 1 species